UACGUAGGGGGCAAGCGUUGUCCGGAUUUAUUGGGCGUAAAGAGCGUGUAGGCGGCCAAGCAGGUCAGCUGUGAAAACUCGAGGCGUCAACCUCGAGACGUCGGUUGAAACCGCUUGGCUAGAGUCCGGAAGAGGGAGAGUGGAAUUCCCGGUGUAGCGGUGAAAUGCGCAGAUAUCAGGAGGAACACCGGUGGCGAAGGCGGGUCUGCUGGGCCGAUACUGACGCUGAGGAGCGAAAGCGUGGGGAGCGAACAGG
rnacentral:rRNA from 1 species